rnacentral:other from 1 species
ACUUCCUAAGCCGGAACGAAAAGUGAAUUAGUUGUAACGCUAUGAAACUUUUGGCUUUGUGGUUGUGAUGUUGUGUUUGCAAAUUGUCUGGAAAACCAGACUAUGUAGCUUAAGCUACUGUUUUUUUCACUUCCUGUACAUUUACCCUGUCUGUCCAUAGUGAUUUUUAAUGCACCGCGAUUGCGGUGCUUUUUUUG